UACAGGGGGUGCAAACGUUGCUCGGAAUUACUGGGCGUAAAGCGUGCGCAGGCGGCUUUGCAAGACAGAUGUGAAAUCCCCGGGCUUAACCUGGGAACUGCAUUUGUGACUGCAUGGCUGGAGUGCGGCAGAGGGGGAUGGAAUUCCGCGUGUAGCAGUGAAAUGCGUAGAUAUGCGGAGGAACACCGAUGGCGAAGGCAAUCCCCUGGGCCUGCACUGACGCUCAUGCACGAAAGCGUGGGGAGCAAACAGG
rnacentral:rRNA from 1 species